rnacentral:rRNA from 1 species
UUCCGGUUGAUCCUGCCGGACCCUACUGCUAUCGGGGUGGGACUAAGACAUGCGAGUCGUUUCAGCCAUGCGUGGCAUACGGCUCAGUAACACGUGGCUAACCCACCCUCAAGACGGAGACAACCCCGGGAAACUGGGGACAAUCCCCGAUAGGCGAAGAUUCCUGGAACGGGUCGUGUUAGGAAUGCUUCAUCGCCCGAGGACGGGGCCGCGACCGAUCAGGUAGUUGGCGAGGCAACGGCUCACCAAGCCUAUAACCGGUACGGGCCGUGAGAGCGGAAGCCCGGAGAUGGAUACUGAGACAAGGAUCCAGGCCUUACGAGGCGCAGCAGUUGCGAAAACUCCACAAUGCACGAAAGUGUGAUGGGGCUACCCCGAGUGCCGUCCGCUGAGGAUGGCUUUUCUCUGCUGUAAGAAGGCGGAGGAAUAAGGAGAGGGCAAGUCUGGUGUCAGCCGCCGCGGUAAUACCAGCUCUCCGAGUGGUAGGGAUGAUUAUUGGGCCUAAAGCAUCCGUAGCUCGUUUUGUAAGUUUUCGGUUAAAUCCAUGCGCUUAACGUAUGGGCUGCCGGGAAUACUGCAUAACUAGGAAGUGGGAGAGGUAGACGGUACUCGGUAGGAAGGGGUAAAAUCCUUUGAUCUAUUGAUGACCACCUGUGGCGAAGGCGGUCUACCAGAACACGUUCGACGGUGAGGGAUGAAAGCUGGGGGAGCAAACCGGAUUAGAUACCCGGGUAGUCCCAGCUGUAAACUAUGCAAACUCAGUGAUGCAUUGGCUUGUGGCCAAUGCAGUGCUGCAGGGAAGCCGUUAAGUUUGCCGCCUGGGGAGUACGGCCGCAAGGCUGAAACUUAAAGGAAUUGGCGGGGGAGCACCACAAGGCGUGAAGCUUGCGGUUCAAUUGGAUUCAACGCCGGA